ensembl:lncRNA
AUGCACCAGUGCCCUAACUGCCAUGUAAGAACAGUCUCUUACAACAAAUACCUCAAACACCUGCAGUAUUUCCAUGAGAAUGAGCGACAUUUCUUUGUUGUAUGUGGACACGAUGGGUGCCAAAAAAGGUACAAAAGAGUGAGUUCUUUACGUGUCCAUGUUUUUCGGACUCAUAAAAUCGUGAGAGACGCAGAAGAUUCUGAGAACAAUCAGGAGAUUCCAGGCACCUCACCUACUUUUAAUGAUUUCGAGGAAACUUUUGAUUCUGAAGAACCAAAUAUCUCUUUUUCUGAAAAAAUAUGUGGGUUCAGAUCACUAAUUGAGAGACAUUUUGCAUUGUUUUGUUUAAAACUUCAAGAAAAGCACAUCCUCCCAAAAACUGUUCGGCAUACUAUUACUCAUGAAGUGAAAAUACUCAUUGAACUUUUUAAUGAACAGUCUAAGGACCUUCUAAAGUUCUGUUUAGAAGAAACAAAUAUCAAUAUUGACAAUCAUUCAAACUUGAAGUCCUUGGUUGAAGACAACCUUUUUGGGAAGUGUUUUGAUGUUAUUGCGUCAGACUUUCAGUUUGAGAGAUACUGUAUUAGAGAGUUUGGGUUAAUUGAACCAGUAGAGUAUUUACUCGGAUUUGACUCGACAGGAAGAAAAGAGACUUUCCAGUAUAUUCCCAUUUUGGAAGUUUUAAAAAAUAUUCUGAAAAGAGAUUAUGUUUUUCAUUAUGUUGUGGAAGACACAGUUUUUGAUGGAGAAACACUUAAAGACUUCACAGAUGGAUUAAUUUUUCAGCAGCACGCCUUUUUUGAUGGAUCUGAGACACAGCUGAGGCUCCAGUUAUAUACUGAUGAAUUUGAAAUUGUAAAUUGUUUAGGAUCCAAAAGGCAGAUCCACAAAAUUUUAAGUGUCUACUUUGUUCUUGGAAAUAUUCCUCUGAAGUAUCGUUCCAGUCUUCAAAAUAUACAUGUGGCUGUACUUGUCAGAAACCGAUUGCUUCAGAAGUAUAGUUACGAGCAAAUUUUGGAUCCUCUUCUUCGUGACCUUUGUGAACUUCAGUGCCGUGGUGUAUCAGUUGACAUUGAUGACAAGUCCUGUGUUUUCAAAGGCUCCGUGAUUUCCAUUUGUGCUGACAAUUUAUCAGCCCAUUCCUUGGCUGGUUUCAAUACUUGCUUUAGUCAAGGACGGAUCUGUCGUUUCUGUCUGUGUCACCACCGUGACAUUGGUAACAAAACUGAGGAAAGUGAGUGUAUUCUCCGGACUCCUGACACACACCGUAGACAUUUACAAGUGCCAGAUGGUAAAUCCUUGUAUGGUGUUACUGGACGAUGCCCUUUUGAUAAACUGCCUCAUUUUGAGGUUACUGAAUCCUUUCCGCCUGACUUGAUGCAUGAUAUUCUUGAAGGUGUCAUCCCACAGGUUCUGAAAUUAGUCUUGCUAAAUCUUACCCGUGAAAGGCUGAUAACAGUGCAACAGUUUAAUGAACAGCUACAACAGUUCCCCUUUGGACAAAACGAUAUAACUCACAGGCCUGUUUUGCUGAAGCCAUCUGCUCUGCAGCAAGGUGCCAUCCCAGGAAAAGCUGUUGAAAAACUGACCCUUUUCCGACUCUUACCUUUUUUAAUUGGAAGCUCCAUCCCUCAGGACAACACUUACUGGGCUCUUUAUUUGCUAUUUAGAUCUAUAUGUGACAUAGUACUGGCACCUGUGAUCAAAACAAGUUGGUUGAGUCCAUUGUCUGCUCUCAUCACAGAAUUUCUGAAGAGUUUUCAGAAGCUUUUCCCUGACAAAUUCACUCCAAAGAUCCACUUUCUGGUUCACUAUCCUCGAUUAAUCAAACAGCACGGUCCACUUAGAGCACAUUGGUGUCUCAGGUAUGAGGCCAAACACCUGUACUUUAAACGCCUUUCAUCAAUUGUAAACAAUUACCAGAAUAUUGCAAAGACUCUGGCAAAUCGCUAUCAAAUGCGCCAGUGUUGGGAAGCACAAUCAACUGGACACCAUGUCUCAGAAGAUGUCCCGUACUCUUUAAUAGAGAUACGUUUGAAUGCACUACCCUCUCAGCUUAGAGAGAUUAUUGCAGAGGACUCUGCUGAACUGAAUGAGACACUCUGGAAAACUAAACAAGUGAUAUAUGACAGAGUCAAAUACACCACUGGAGACUUCUUGAUCCUUGACCUUGUGCAUGCUGAGGAAAUCCCAGUUUUUUUGAAAGUUAUACAUAUUGUUAAGUACCAUAGUCAGUGGAAAUUGUGA